rnacentral:rRNA from 1 species
CAGGUAGGACUACCCGCUGAACUUAAGCAUAUCAAUAAGCGGAGGAAAAGAAACUAACAAGGAUUCCCCUAGUAACUGCGAGUGAAGCGGGAAAAGCUCAAAUUUAAAAUCUGGCGGUCGCUAUGGCCGUCCGAGUUGUAAUCUGGAGAAGUGUUUUCCGCGUCGGACCGUGUACAAGUCUUCUGGAACGGAGCGUCAUAGAGGGUGAGAAUCCCGUCUCUGACACGGACUGCCGAUGCUUUAUGUGAUAC